rnacentral:rRNA from 1 species
AUUGAACGCUGGCGGCAGGCCUAACACAUGCAAGUCGAGCGGAUGAAGGGAGCUUGCUCCUGGAUUCAGCGGCGGACGGGUGGGUAAUGCCUAGGAAUCUGCCUGGUAGUGGGGGAUAACGUCCGGAAACGGGCGCUAAUACCGCAUACGUCCUGAGGGAGAAAGUGGGGGAUCUUCGGACCUCACGCUAUCAGAUGAGCCUAGGUCGGAUUAGCUAGUUGGUGGGGUAAAGGCCUACCAAGGCGACGAUCCGUAACUGGUCUGAGAGGAUGAUUAGUCACACUGGAACUGAGACACGGUCCAGACUCCUACGGGAGGCAGCAGUGGGGAAUAUUGGACAAUGGGCGAAAGCCUGAUCCAGCCAUGCCGCGUGUGUGAAGAAGGUCUUCGGAUUGUAAAGCACUUUAAGUUGGGAGGAAGGGCAGUAAGUUAAUACCUUGCUGUUUUGACGUUACCAACAGAAUAAGCACCGGCUAACUUCGUG